GGUUAUGGCUCAGCAGUAGAGCGCUCGCCUCGCACAUGCAAGGCCCUGGGUUCAAAUCUCAGCACCA
rnacentral:tRNA from 1 species